CCUCCUCGCCGCCUUCUCCGUCCAGCGAACGUACAGAGAAGUCCGGAAAAAAGCUGGGCUGUUGGAAACGGGCUGGGAAAGUCUCUGGCAUUGGGAUGGGAGGAGGGCUAAGAGAAGCUAAAUGUGCGUGGACUCGUUUUCCUUGGAGAAGCGGAAGGUUUCCUCUUCGACUGCACGGUGACGUUUCCUUUUAGUCAUGCCUCCUACGAGAAUGAAAUGUGAAAUUAGGGAAGAAGACAAAAAUAUGGGUGCAAACUAAAGAACCCAGUUUGUACAUCAGCUGGACGUGGUGAUUCCAAAGCUCUUAGGCUCUCAUCAACUUCUGUGGAUACUGAAUCCAGUAAUAUUAAAUGUGACAUUACUUCAUCAACCCCUAAAGUGUCUUGACUCUUCAACUUGUAGUUAUUCAGCUUCUUUUGUCAAGCCUCUUUUCUAAAUAAGACCCUCAGAGAAGCUCCUGGGAAGAAUUAUUUCCUGGGGUGAAGUAUCUUGGCCAGAGCAACAUCUUUCCAGGUUGUAUUUGCUGGUAUAGAGUCUUCCUUUUCGGAGUCCUCAUCAUCCUAGCUGCAUGCCCUGUUGACCCUCAACCUUCUGCUUCUUCAAUGCCCACCAGGCUGAGCUUCAACACUCUACUUGCAUCCACAGGAAGCCUGAAGUCUUUAGCGCGUUCCACAGGAUGUGUACUUCCUUCCUUAACUACUCUAAAAACUGCGGCUGAUGAGUACAC